AUUGAACGCUGGCAGCAGGCCUAACACAUGCAAGUCGAGCGGAGCGACGGGCGGGUGAGUAAUGCCUAUGAAUCUGCCUGGUAGUGGGGGAUAACGUCCGGAAACGGGCGCUAAUACCGCAUACUAUCAGAUGAGCCUAGGUGGGAGUAGCUAGUUGGUGGGGUAAAGGCUUACCAAGGCGACGAUCCGUAACUGGUCUGAGAGGAUGAUCAGUCAAACGGGAACUGAGACACGGUCCAGACUCCUACGGGAGGCAGCAGUGGGGAAUAUUGGACAAUGGGCGAAAGCCUGAUCCAGCCAUGCCGCGUGUGUGAAGAAGGUCUUCGGAUUGUAAAGCACUUUAAGUUGGGAGGCGUUACCAACAGAAGAAGCACCGGCUAACUUCGUGCCAGCCGCCGCGGUAAUUC
rnacentral:rRNA from 1 species